rnacentral:lncRNA from 1 species
CAAUAGUAGCGUGAGCUGCAGAAAUUCCACUCACAUUCUGGGAUCAUAUGGGAGUGCAAGAAAAUCAGACGUCCAACUGAAUGGACAUGGGAAGAAGUGCAAGGAUGAAUUUGUUUUGGAGAAGAAUCGAAGUGCAAGGCGUUCACCUAAUCACGUUGAUAAUGGACUCUUACGUUUUUACCUGACGCCCAUGAGGAGCAGCCGGAGAUGGGGACUGGCAAAAGUAAAGCCCAAUAGCUCACAAUCAAUCUCUAGAAGCAUCCUUAGGCCUUACUGAGCUAUGAAAUCUUCAUGUUGUCUUUUAAUUCAAGGUUAAUUUUGCUGAUCUGUCUUGUAACCACGAAUGCUCUUUUAAAUCUUAAUGUUUGGUCGGAUUAUCCAUAUUUGUGAUUUGAUCAAGAUGCUAUUUUGAUUGGGAUGAUAAUGAGAAAAAUCCAAUGUUUCUUUCUGUGUAGUUCUUCGCAUGUUGUCUUGCUACAAGAUUUUCUUGUCCUAUGCGGAGUUGGAGUUUCACCUGUUACUUCUACGAUAUUUGUCAGUUUUUCAAAUUAUUCUUAAGCCUUGAAAAUGGUGGAUACGGACAAUUCUUGCUAUGCAACAAUUUGCGAGCGCCUCACCACACUAGAUCAGUCCUCCUCUAUAACUCCCUCGUCAUCUCGCCGGCCUUCUGUCUCUGGUGCUGCCGCUGCCAUUAAAUCUUUAUUCUCGUCCUCCUCUAAAACUACCGCUACCACCAACUAUAACUUCCCCCCACUUCCAUCUCAGAAGCCCUCCAAACCCACCUCAUUUUUUCCUGACCUUCGUCGCACUAAAUCAUUUUCAGCCUCUAAGAACGAAGGAUUUGGCCUCUUUUCCGGUGCUUUUGAGCCCCAGAGAAAAUCUUGUGACGUCCGGGUGAGGAACACACUUGGGUCACUCUUCACCAUCAACGACGACAAUAAAACCGCUAAUAAACCCUCUACUUCUACUCAAAACCCACAAUAUGGCCUGACAAACAAGCAAUGCGAAUCUUUUGUUGUCAAUAAAUCGGUUUAUGGGGAGACCAAAAGUGGGGAUGAUUUUGAAGACCCUGAAAACAUAGAGGACACGAAUGCUGCUGUUAAUGAUGAUGACAAAGAUGAAAUUACUCCAGUUCAAGAUUUCAUUUUAGAAAAUAUUGGACGUGACCUUGAAAGAGAGGUUGAUGUAGCUGAGAUAGUCGAAGAAGAUAUGGUAAAUGUGAAUAAUUUGAAGGCUAUGAAGGAUCAUAUAGAUCUUGAUAUCCAAGUGAAGAAGAGUUCUGGAGGGGGAUUUUGGUCUGCUGCCUCAGUUUUUAGCAAGAAAUGGCAGAAGUGGAGGAAACAAAAGUUGAAAAAGCAGAAUAAUGGUGAGCAUUUGGCUAAACUGCCUGUCGAAAAACCAAUUUCGAGGCAAUACAGAGAGACGCAGUCUGAAAUUGCAGAAUACGGGUUUGGGAGGAGGUCUUGUGAUACUGACCCACGGUUUUCUCUUGAUGUUGGGAGAAUUAGCCUGGAUGAUCCAAGGUAUUCUUUUGACGAGCCUCGGGCUUCUUGGGAUGGGCAUUUGAUUGGGAGGAGUUUUCCGAGAAUGGCGCCUAUGGUUUCUGUAAUGGAGGAUGCACCAACUAUGAAUGUAUCACGAUCUGAUAUGCAGAUUCCAGUAGAGGAUCCAGUGAUGACGACAGUGAACUGUGUUAAUGGGGACGAGGGUGUCCCGGGAGGGUCUGUGCAGACUAUGGAGUACUAUGCAGAUUCGUCCUCAAAAAGGAAGAGUCUUGAUAGGUCCAAUUCUGUAAGAAAGGCCUCGGCUGCUGUGGUGGCAGAGACCGAUGAAAUGAAGGUGGUUUCUAAUGCCAAGGUUUUACCUGCUACUGCUGAUCACUUUUGUGGGGCUAAGGCAUUGUUUGGGGACAGAGAGUUCUGGGAUUCAAAUUCAAAUUCCUUGAAGGAUGAUUAUUCAGAGACAUUUGAGUUGAGUAGUGGGUUUAGGGAUAAUAAUUCGAUGAUAGAGAAUGGGGAGCAAAAGGAGUUGAAAAAAUCAAGGAGGUGGAGUUGGAGAAUAUUGGGCUUUAUACAACGACGUGGUGGUGGGAACAAGGACGAGGAAGAUGAUAGGUACAGUAGAAUUGAUGGGGUGGAGAGAUCAUUUUCCGAGAGAGGAGAAUUCAACAGGAAUGUGUUUCGGAGCAAUAGUAGCGUGAGCUGCAGAAAUUCCACUCACAUUCUGGGAUCAUAUGGGAGUGCAAGAAAAUCAGACGUCCAACUGAAUGGACAUGGGAAGAAGUGCAAGGAUGAAUUUGUUUUGGAGAAGAAUCGAAGUGCAAGGCGUUCACCUAAUCACGUUGAUAAUGGACUCUUACGUUUUUACCUGACGCCCAUGAGGAGCAGCCGGAGAUGGGGACUGGCAAAAGUAAAGCCCAAUAGCUCACAAUCAAUCUCUAGAAGCAUCCUUAGGCCUUACUGAGCUAUGAAAUCUUCAUGUUGUCUUUUAAUUCAAGGUUAAUUUUGCUGAUCU